AUGUUUCAGUGACCUCUGUCAUCUCCAUGUCUUCCAGACUAAUGAAUGUGUCCAGCAUAGAAACUAUCAACUUUGUUAGCUACUUUAUCCUCAUGGGUUUUCCCUCAAGUCCAGCAAUGCAGCUCCUCUACUUCAGUCUCUUCUCAGUAGCCUAUAUUCUCACCCUGAUGGGAAAUGCGGCCAUUGUCUGUUCUGUAUGGUGGGACCAGCGCCUUCACACUCCCAUGUAUAUUCUCUUGGGAAAUUUCUCUCUCCUGGAAAUAUGUUAUGUUACCACAACUGUUCCUAAAACGUUGGCCAACUUCCUCUCCACAAGCAAGUCCAUCUCAUUCAUGAGUUGUUUUGCACAGUUCUACUUCUUUUUCUCUUUUGGGUACGAUGAGGGCUUCUUUCUUUGUAUCAUGGCCUUUGACAGGUAUCUUGCCAUCUACCGCCCUCUACAUUAUCCACGCAUCAUGACUAAACAAGUAUGCACUGGCUUCAUUGUCUUUGCAUGGUCCUGUGGGUUUGUAAUCUUCCUAACUCCAGUUAUUCUCAUUUCACAGCUAUCCUACUGUGGCCCAAAUAUUAUCAACCAUUUUGUCUGUGAUCCUGUCCCACUGAUGAUGCUGUCCUGUUCUGAAGACAUUAUCACCCAGCUCAUUUACUCCACAUUCAAUUCUGUCUUCAUGAUUGGCACCUUUCUCUUUAUCCUUUGUUCCUAUGCUCUGGUGAUUCUGGCUGUAAUGCAGGUGCCCUCAGAGGCUGGCAAACAAAAGGCUUUCUCCACUUGUACUUCUCAUUUGGCAGUUGUCACCUUGUUUUAUGGCUCUAUCAUGAUGAUGUAUGUUAGUCCUGGAUCAGGACACCCAGUAAAAAUGCAAAAAAUCAUUACCUUGUUUUAUUCUGUGAUAACACCUCUCUGCAAUCCUCUGAUAUAUAGUCUCAGGAACAAAGAGAUGAAAGAUUCUCUGAAGAAAAUCUUCAGGACUGGAAAAUGUGUUAAUAAAAUAUAAAUGAGAUAAUUUCCAUUUAUCAAAUAUAACUUUAAUUAGUCAUGAAUAUUUGUCUACAAAUUCAUUGUUUUAUUUAAGAACUGCUAUAAUAAUAACUCAUUAACAUCUUAAACACCACUUACCACAAUUUGUAAUACUGUGGUCUUAUUUAAGAAGAGUGUUUCAACAAUGAAUUAGAGUUUGUGUUGAAAUGAAUAGAAGUAUGUAAAAUUCUAUGUCUAAGCUAGUCAGAACCUCUAUAUGUAUUUCAACUUUUUAAAAAGAAUACAUAUAUCCUUUUUGUAUUACUGAGUUAAGGUAAUUGAUAACACAUGUAACAGAUAAUAUAGACUGCUCUCACAAUUAACACCGUAAUCCAGUAAUUGUGCAGUAGGAGAUAUUGGCUGCAAAAAAGAUAUGGUUUAAGAAGUCCAGCUUGUCAAAAUGUAGCAAGUGGUCCUUACAUUGUGGAAAUAAACUAAUAACCUUAGUUUGAUAUUUAGUGUUUUUUCAGAGUACACAAAACUAGAAUUAUGAAUUUAAAGCAGAUUAGUUACCUGGGAUAUAGUACAGAUAAGACCUAAACAAAAAGGUGAGCACUACUCAGGAUACAGCUUGCUUUGUUGUAAACCCAGUUUAAACAGAGGUUUUGAUAUCAUAAUUAGUUUAGCAUUAAUACUGUGUGACUUAUUUGAGUACUGCUGGGCAGUACUAAAUAAAAUUCUUAAAAUCCAUUUUAUAAAUAUUUGACUAACAUAUUGCUUCGAUUUUGAUUUCUGUUUUGUUCUAUGGUCAUUUUUUUUUCAAAUACAAAUUUCAAAAACAUAAUGAAAAGAAAUCACGAUAUGAAAUGUAAUUUACAGAACUUUAAUUUGUAAGCCCUCAUAGUGCAGUUAGUUUUUGUGUCAUAAAGAACCUGAGUUGUGAAUAUUUUCUGGAUUUGAAAGGCAGGAUUUAUGUGAGUUCUGGGGAAAAGGGUGGCUGUUUUAUUAUACUUCACAUGUGCAAUGUAAAUUAAAUAGCUAAAUACUUGCCAGGAAAACUCUUUUAUAUAGGAAGAAAGUAUGAGCAACUUAGAACUUAAUUCAAACUUCAAUGGUGGGCUCUCUUUAAAGUGCUGAUAAAUUUAACACAAGUUUCACCUGUCCAUGCCAGUUUCAUCUUUCUUAAUUACAUGAGAAAUAAAAGGGAUAGAAAUUCUUUUUUUUUUU